AGGACUUGCAGAUAUAGUUACUGUUGCAUAUGGCGCAGUAUUGUCAACCUUGGAAUCAUGUUAAUGGAAAUACAGAAUAGAGUAUACAUUGAUUCAGUAUACAGACAGAUAAAGAGAAAACAGUAUCAAAUGUGCAAGCUCCUCAAAAUUUUGAUGGGUGGAAUUCAGCAUUAUGAAUCCGAAUCCGUGUGUUUGUGCAAAUAUUAUCUCCUGGUUGUCUAUGAUUAA